GUUGCCGCCAUCGAGGCCACCCCUGAAUCCGUCGCGGCAUGGCUCCCCAUCGACGCCUGUCGCCUCUCCGGUGUCCUAGAUUUCCAGAACAGGGGGAACAUGGACGAGACCUCCGCCGCCUCUCCUUUGAAGCUGCCUUGCUUUCAGAACGCAACCAAGGUCGUGCUUGAUCUAGAUUCUAUCGGCCUCACCCUGCCGCCUUCCGGCAUAUUUACCCGGCUCGCCGAUCUGGUGCUGAUUGGCAUCCAGCUCCAUGGUCCCUGUAGCCUCGGUGAUGUUGUUUCUUCACCACGGUGUCCAUCUUUGACGCGUCUUUGCGUUGGCAGUGUCAAGGGUCUGGAAGAGUUCACAAUCCACUCAGAGUCUCUCCUAGAAUUGGUGCUCAGUGGUCUCCCUGGCUUGCACCAGCUCAAUGUCGUUGCGCUGGCUCUGAAAGACUUAGCAGUACGGAGUUGCUUCACUGAUGCUCUCAAUCGGAGUCAACACAUUGCCAACAUCUCAGCCCCUCAGCUGGUGACACUUGAUUGGAAGAGUUCUUAUGAUCCUAGCUCUGUCCUGCUUGGCGAGAUGUCACAUCUCCAACAGCUGACAACGCAAUAUUUAAUUGUAUAUGGACAAUAUAUUUUUUCUGCACAUAAUCGUCAUUGCUUGAUGCUUCUGCAGCGUUUUGACCACAUCAGCAGACUUGUUCUCUACCUUGUCUAUGCACCGCUUCAAGUCAACGGCCGAUUCUUGAUGGAGGAGAUGACAAACUUUCCUAACAUUACCAGCUUGACACUAAAUGUAGUGGCAUGUAGUCAUUCCUUUGGAGCCAGCUCAUUCCAUGUUCUCAGUAUGUCUAGUGGCGUAAGAGAGCUGGAGAUUAGACUUGUCGACCUGCCGAGCGAACACGAGGCACUCGCUUCUGCGUGCCAAUCAGGUUGCAUUUGUGCCAAGCCAUCAAUCUGGGAAACCGAGGAACUCGUCCUCCAUUGCCUCGAAGAAGUAGUAAUCAGUGGCCUGAGAGGAACUGAACAUGAACUCGCUUUUGUGAAAAGGUUAUUCAACUGGACAACAGUGCUAAAGAGGAUGACAGUAAAUUUUCGUGUUUCAAUGACUGAAAGCAAGGCCAAAGAGCUUCGCCAGCUGCUAUUAAGUUUCUCUAGGCCAGGAAUAUGUAUGAAAUUC
rnacentral:rRNA from 1 species